rnacentral:rRNA from 1 species
GACAGAGGGUGCGAACGUUGUUCGGAAUUACUGGGCGUAAAGCGCGUGUAGGCGGCAGCGCAAGUCGGGCGUGAAAUCCCACGGCUCAACCGUGGAAGUGCACUCGAAACUGCGCAGCUAGAGUCCUGGAGAGGAAGGUGGAAUGCUUGGUGUAGAGGUGAAAUUCGUAGAUAUCGAGAGGAACAUCGGUGGCGAAGGCGGCCUUCUGGACGAUGACUGACGCUGAGACGCGAAAGCGUGGGGAGCAAACAGG